rnacentral:rRNA from 1 species
UACGAAGGGGGCUAGCGUUGCUCGGAUUUACUGGGCGUAAAGGGCGCGUAGGCGGACAGUUUAGUCAGAGGUGAAAGCCCAGGGCUCAACCUUGGAAUUGCCUUUGAUACUGGCUGUCUUGAGUACGGGAGAGGUGAGUGGAACUGCGAGUGUAGAGGUGAAAUUCGUAGAUAUUCGCAAGAACACCAGUGGCGAAGGCGGCUCACUGGCCCGGUACUGACGCUGAGGUGCGAAAGCGUGGGGAGCAAACAGG